CGGACGGGUGAGUAAUGUCUGGGAAACUGCCCGAUGGCGGGGGAUAACUACUGGAAACGGUAGCUAAUACCGCAUAACGUCGCAAGACCAAAGAGGGGACCUUCGGGCCUCUUGCCAUCGGAUGUGCCCAGAUGGGAUUAGCUAGUAGGUGGGGUAAAGGCUCACCUAGGCGACGAUCCCUAGCUGGUCUGAGAGGAUGACCAGCCACACUGGAACUGAGACACGGUCCAG
rnacentral:rRNA from 1 species